UACAAGCUCGUCGGUACAUCUUAUUCAAUACAAGCGCGGUUCAACCAUUCAUAAACAAACACCUUGAAGUACUUAAGCUCAAAAUGCCUCGUGUCGAUGAUCAUCAACUUCGGCGUGAACAUUUUGAAACUUUUCACAUUUGGUUCAAGGAACAUGUCCAAACUUUGCGAAGGACUACUGAUGUCAUAUUUUC